CGGCCGCGUCGACCGCUGGCGGCAGGCCUAACACAUGCAAGUCGAGCGGUAACAGAUCUAGCUUGCUAGAUGCUGACGAGCGGCGGACGGGUGAGUAAUGCAUAGGAAUCUGCCCGGUAGUGGGGGAUAACCUGGGGAAACCCAGGCUAAUACCGCAUAACAAUGGAUGACACAUGUCAUUUAUUUGAAAGGGGCAAUUGCUCCACUACAAGAUGGACCUGCGUUGUAUUAGCUAGUAGGUGAGGUAACGGCUCACCUAGGCGACGAUACAUAGCCGACCUGAGAGGGUGAUCGGCCACACUGGGACUGAGACACGGCCCAGACUCCUACGGGAGGCAGCAGUAGGGAAUCUUCGGCAAUGGGGGCAAC
rnacentral:rRNA from 1 species